rnacentral:misc_RNA from 1 species
GGGAAAUCAAGCCUAAUUGCAGCCAUGGCUAAUUACUUAAACUUUGAUAUUUAUGAUUUGGAGCUUUCCAGUGUCUUUUCUAAUGUUGAGCUAAGAAGGCUGUUGUUAAAUACAACUAAUCGAUCAAUACUCGUUGUUGAAGAUAUAGAUUGUCAUUCAGAGGUGCGAGAUCGAUCCAAACUUAUGAAAGAAGAACAACUUAACCCCAAGAAAUAUCCCAAGGCAUUCACACUCUCAACUCUGCUAAAUUGCAUCGAUGGAUUAUGGUC